rnacentral:tRNA from 1 species
CAGAUUAAAGCUUUAAGGAAGCAUCUUAUUUACAUUAAGAGGAUUUCUGUUCAAUUCAGUUUAAUUUGA